rnacentral:rRNA from 1 species
GAUGAACGCUGACAGAAUGCUUAACACAUGCAAGUCUACUUGAUUCUACUUCGGUAGUUGAUGGUGGCGGACGGGUGAGUAACGCGUAAAGAAUCUGCCCUUUAGUUUGGGAGAACCUUUGGAAACGAAGGCUAAUACCGGAUAUUAUGGAGACGUCGCAUGGCGACUCCAUGAAAGCUAUAUGCGGUAGAGGAGGACUUUGCGUCCCAUUAGUUAGUUGGUGAGGUAAUGGCUCACCAAGACCGCGAUGGGUAGCCGGCCAGAGAGGGUGAUCGGCCACAAGGGAACUGAGACACGGUCCUUACUCCUACGAGAGGCAGAAGUGGGGAAUAGUGGACAAUGGGCCACAAGCCUGAUCCAGCAAUUCUGUGUGCACGAUGAAGGUCUUCGGAUUGUAAAGUGCUUUCAGUAGGGAAGAAAAAAAUGACGGUACCUACAGAAGAAGCGACGGCUAAAUAUGUGCCAGCAGCCGCAGUAACAC